rnacentral:rRNA from 1 species
GACGAACGCCGGCGGCGUGGUUAACACAUGCAAGUCGAACGAAGAGCGAUGGAAGCUUGCUUCUAUCAAUUUUAGUGGCGAACGGGUGAGUAACGAGUAAUCAACUUGCCCUUCAGAGGGGGACAACAGUUGGAAACGACUGAUAAUACCGCAUACGAUCUGACCUAGGCAUCGAGGAAGGAUGAAAGGUGGCCUCUAAUUAUAAGCUAUCAUUGAAGGAGGGGAGUGCGUAUGAUUAGAUAGUUGGAGGGGUAACGGCCCACCAAGGCGAUGAUCAGUAGCCGGUAUGAGAGGAUGAACGGCCACAUUGGGAGUGAGACACGGCCCAGACUCCUACGGGAGGCAGCAGUGCGGAAUCUUCCGCAAUGGACGAAAGUCUGACGGAGCAACGCCGCGUGAGUGAUGACGGCGUUCGGGUGGUAAAGCUCUGUU